UUUAGUACGUAGCCAUAAUGCCUCAGCUGAUGGGUAUGAAUCGUGCAUGCCAUUCAAGGACGUUUGAUGGUAUCUUUAGAAGAUUU
rfam:Drosophila sechellia strain Rob3c scaffold_135 genomic scaffold, whole genome shotgun sequence.